rnacentral:rRNA from 1 species
UCUACAGGCUUAACACAUGCAAGUCGAGGGGCAGCAUUUCAGUUUGCUUGCAAACUGGAGAUGGCGACCGGCGCACGGGUGAGUAACACGUAUCCAACCUGCCGAUAACUCGGGGAUAGCCUUUCGAAAGAAAGAUUAAUACCCGAUGGCAUAAUUAGACCGCAUGGUCUUAUUAUUAAAGAAUUUCGGUUAUCGAUGGGGAUGCGUUCCAUUAGGCAGUUGGUGAGGUAACGGCUCACCAAACCUUCGAUGGAUAGGGGUUCUGAGAGGAAGGUCCCCCACAUUGGAACUGAGACACGGUCCAAACUCCUACGGGAGGCAGCAGUGAGGAAUAUUGGUCAAUGGGUGCAGGCCUGAACCAGCCAAGUAGCGUGAAGGAUGACUGCCCUAUGGGUUGUAAACUUCUUUUAUAUGGGAAUAAAGUUUUCCACGUGUGGAAUUUUGUAUGUACCAUAUGAAUAAGGAUCGGCUAACUCCGUGCCAGCAGCCGCGGUAAUACGGAGGAUCCGAGCGUUAUCCGGAUUUAUUGGGUUUAAAGGGAGCGUAGGUGGACAGUUAAGUCAGUUGUGAAAGUUUGCGGCUCAACCGUAAAAUUGCAGUUGAUACUGGCUGUCUUGAGUACAGUAGAGGUGGGCGGAAUUCGUGGUGUAGCGGUGAAAUGCUUAGAUAUCACGAAGAACUCCGAUUGCGAAGGCAGCUCACUGGACUGCAACUGACACUGAUGCUCGAAAGUGUGGGUAUCAAACAGGAUUAGAUACCCUGGUAGUCCACACAGUAAACGAUGAAUACUCGCUGUUUGCGAUAUACAGUAAGCGGCCAAGCGAAAGCAUUAAGUAUUCCACCUGGGGAGUACGCCGGCAACGGUGAAACUCAAAGGAAUUGACGGGGGCCCGCACAAGCGGAGGAACAUGUGGUUUAAUUCGAUGAUACGCGAGGAACCUUACCCGGGCUUAAAUUGCAUUUGAAUAUAUUGGAAACAGUAUAGCCGUAAGGCAAAUGUGAAGGUGCUGCAUGGUUGUCGUCAGCUCGUGCCGUGAGGUGUCGGCUUAAGUGCCAUAACGAGCGCAACCCUUAUCUUUAGUUACUAACAGGUCAUGCUGAGGACUCUAGAGAGACUGCCGUCGUAAGAUGUGAGGAAGGUGGGGAUGACGUCAAAUCAGCACGGCCCUUACGUCCGGGGCUACACACGUGUUACAAUGGGGGGUACAGAAGGCAGCUACCUGGUGACAGGAUGCUAAUCCCAAAAGCCUCUCUCAGUUCGGAUCGAAGUCUGCAACCCGACUUCGUGAAGCUGGAUUCGCUAGUAAUCGCGCAUCAGCCAUGGCGCGGUGAAUACGUUCCCGGGCCUUGUACACACCGCCCGUCAAGCCAUGAAAGCCGGGGGUACCUGAAGUACGUAACCGCAAGGAGCGUCCUAGGGUAAAACUGGUAAUUGGGG